UUAAGUUCAGCGGGUAUCCCUACCUGAUCCGAGGUCAACCUGAUAAAAUUGGGGGGUUGCUGGCAAGCACGCGCCCAGGCCUCCAGAGCGAGAAGAGUUACUACGCUCGGAGCCGGACGGCACCGCCACUGACUUUAGGGCCCGCCAGGCGGCGGAGCCCAACACCAAGCUAGGCUUGAGGGUUGUAAUGACGCUCGGAC
rnacentral:misc_RNA from 1 species